rnacentral:piRNA from 1 species
UGUAACUCCAGCCUCAAGGAUCUGAUG